rnacentral:rRNA from 1 species
UACAGAGGGUGCAAGCGUUGUUCGGAAUCAUUGGGCGUAAAGGGCGCGUAGGUGGCCCGGUCAGUUCGUGGUGAAAGCGCGGGGCUCAACCCUGCGUCGGCCAUGAAUACUGCCGCGGCCUGGAGCACUGUAGAGGCAGGCGGAAUUCCGGGUGUAGCGGUGGAAUGCGUAGAGAUCCGGAAGAACACCGGUGGCGAAGGCGGCCUGCUGG